UAAUAAAGGAACGAUUUGAACAGUAAAAAAGGGUUAUUUUGGUAUUUCAUCAACAAAAGGGUUAUUUUGGGUUUUCAUCAACACGCCGAUCCUCAAUCACCAACCAUCUGAUUGCCCAUAUACAACUGAGACAGAACGAGUGAGACACAACGAGAAAGAUGUGAGAUAAGGGAGACGAUGACGGAGAUGGCUGCGAAAAGUUCCUGUGGUUACCGGCGGCGGUUAGGGUUCCGCCAUGAAACAUGAUAUCAGCAGUCUUUUCUUUAUCAGAAUCGCUAUCAGCUGGGUUAAGUUCCAGGGUUCCGGCCGCCGUUCAACUGAAGGUAAUGACGAUUAAGAAGGCAAUGAUGGAGGUUCUGGUUAUAGGGAUGGCCGUGAAUUCAGAAACGAACUCCGGUCACUCAAAUAGGGUUCCAGCAAGCUUACGGCGUCUUUUUACACUGUAAGUUUGGUUUUCUUGAAGGUUCAAGGACCGAUGAUGAUGGUAUCGGACAAGAAAGUGAUUAGAAGAUAACGUUGAGGGCAGGAUCAGCAUGUGAUCAGGUUCAAAUGUUGCAGCAGGAAUUACCACAUGAUCAACCAAGGAUAGGCCUGCUCCUGCAGCAAUCAAGGACUCCUGAAAUGUCUGCAUUGUUUAAGGUAUGUAUGUAAUUAUCAUAACUGUGCUUAAUGGUUUUAAGAGGCACGAUUGAUGGAAUUAUCUUAAUGUGGCAGUGGCGUAUGUAGGUCCAAAGUCUUCAAUGCAUAUAAAGCCUUGGUCUAAAACCUGCUCCAUUGUCUAAUGUAUUUGUAUUUACAGCACAUAUUUAAAUGGUGUUGGUGAGAAUCAAAAAAUGUAUACAUUCCUUUAUAGGUAAGUGAAUUGCUAAAAAAAUGGGUUGACUGGUCAAACGGUCCAAAGAAGUCAGAUCAGAUUGGGGCAGCCAAUCAAUUGUUUUUUCCUCUUUAACAAUAAUUGCCUAUUUUGAAAUCCAUAAAUAAUCAAAACUGUAAUCCUGUAAAUAAUUAGCAUAGGACUAUGGGGUGUGGAAGGGCUUGGAUUGGGGGCAUUGCUCGACAUGUGGUGAGGGUGGGAUCCACAAGCUAAAACUAAAAAAUUAGGGGUGUGGUGGGGCGUCCCUUAGCUGGUCGUGUCCAGCCAUGUGGAAUUUUUUUUGUUUAAACUCUUUAAAAUUUCAUUUUAUAAAAAUAACACACUAAUUAUACUUCUAUUAAAUUUAGAAGCUUUUGAACUGUAAUUAGGGGUGUUUUAGAAAUUUGAAUAUAAAUGACACGUUGUUGCCUCAAUACCUCCACCGCUUCAUCUUUGCUUUAUCCUGCAACACGUUAGGGUUCACUCUCUCAUGAAAAUCCAUCUGAAUCAAUACCUCAAUUCUCCAACGGGUGACUAAACUACUAGAUGGUUCUGAGACGAUUUGGUAUUCUCUCACUCUCUCAUGCUUUAUCCGACCGGCAAAUCUUCAUCGACCAGCGGUGGUGGGGAAUCAAACAUCCAUCUACAUGAUAUGCUUCCUCUAUGCCUCAAAAUCGAUUUUCUCAAUAUGAAUUUCAACGCCCAGACCAAUUCCAAGAUUACUUUAGAUUAAGAGAGAGAGAGAGAGAGAGAGAGAGAGAGAGAGAGAGAGAAACUUUAGAGUUUGAGCAGGAGAGAAAGACGGGCCGAAUUCCUCACAUAGGUCAACCUUCUUUGGUUGGAUUUCGAUUUCUGCAACCAUUGUAAAGAUGAUAAUGAUGUGCUGCAGGUGAACGAUAGUGACACA